UUUUGACUUUUUCCUGUCAAAAUGGCAGCUUGAUGUUGAUAUUGCUACUCAUAUACAUGUCAAGGAUGAUGGACCUGCAAGGAGCUUACUUUAUAUUGAAACAGCUGAUCGGCCUGGGCUGCUCUUAGAGAUGAUCAAAAUUAUGGCUGACAUCAAUGUUAAUGUGGAAUCUGCUGAAAUUGAAACAGAAGGUCUAGUAGCAAAGGACAAGUUUCAUGUCAGUUACAGAGGGCAAGCAUUGAACAAUUCCUUGUCUCAGGUGCUAACUAAUUGCCUGCGUUACUACCUCCGGAGGCCAGAAACUGAUGAAGAUAGUUACUAAAUGGUAUCUUCACUGUACAAAC